rnacentral:rRNA from 1 species
CCUACGGGAAGCAGCAGUGGGGGAUAUUGGACAAUGGGGGGAACCCUGAUCCAGCGACGCCGCGUGAGUGAAGAAGUAUUUCGGUAUGUAAAGCUCUGUCAGCAGGGAAGAAAGAAAUGACGGUACCUGACCAAGAAGCCCCGGCUAACUACGUGCCAGCAGCCGCGGGAAUACGUAGGGUGCAAGCGUUAUCCGGCAUUACUGGGUGUAAAGGGAGCGUAGACGGUUAAGUAAGUCUGGAGUGAAAGGCCGGGGCCCAACCCCGGGACUGCUCGGGAAACUAGUGAACUUGAGUGCAGGAGAGGUAAGCAGAAUUCCUAGUGUAGCGGUGAAAUGCGUAGAUAUCAGGAGGAACACCAGUGGCGAAGGCGGCUUACUGGACUGUAACUGACGUUGAGGCGCGAAAGCGUGGGGAGCAAACAGGAUUAGAUACCCUAGUAGUC